GACGAACGCUGGCGGCGUGCUUAACACAUGCAAGUCGAACGGAAAGGCCCUGCUUUUGUGGGGUGCUCGAGUGGCGAACGGGUGAGUAACACGUGAGUAACCUGCCCUUGACUUUGGGAUAACUUCAGGAAACUGGGGCUAAUACCGGAUAGGAGCUCCUGCUGCAUGGUGGGGGUUGGAAAGUUUCGGCGGUUGGGGAUGGACUCGGGGCUUAUCAGCUUGUUGGUGGGGUAGUGGCUUACCAAGGCUUUGACGGGUAGCCGGCAUGAGAGGGUGACCGGCCACAUUGGGACUGCGAGACGGCCCAGACGCCUACGGGAGGCAGCAGUGGGGAAUAUUGCACAGUGGGCGGAAGCCUGAUGAAGCAACGCCGCGUGCGGGAUGACGGCCUUCGGGUUGUAAACCGCUUUCGCCUGUGACGAAGCGUGAGUGACGGUAAUGGGUAAAGAAGCACCGGCUAACUACGUG
rnacentral:rRNA from 1 species